GAUAUAAAGAAAAUUCCCCUUAUUUACCACUUUAGAAGCUGGGGAGAAAGAUCCAAGUGCAAGCUAUCCAGCAUCCAAUCUAAGGGGAAGUGAACAAGCUUUUUAAAGCGGGUACACUCUUUCUCAAGGUAAGCAGGAGGGGUUGACAAGUUGAAGAAUAAUAAAGUAUACCCGGCCAUGCUCUUAACGCCCAUAAGCCGGACCCUCUUGUGGAAGCGGGAAGGAGGAUUCCCUUUCCAUUUGACGGCACUCUCGCCGACAAAUAGCUUGAAUGUC
rnacentral:lncRNA from 1 species